UUGUUUUGCGAGGGUAAAUGCUGUUGAUUAUCUGGUUUAACUUCAACCUCAAGUUAAUUCGGUAUUAUAUGUCAUUGCCUUAUGUUGUACUUUGUAUAUUUCAAAUUAUGCUGAUUUGAAUGUUUGAGUAAUGAGUAGUGACUUUUUGCAUUUAUUUUAUUUUGCGAGAACCAAUGCUGUGGACUCGAUUGGAUGUACCAUGCUAAUAGCGAUACCUAGGCCCAAGACCUAUGAAAUCAUACCAGCCACAUCCUUAGAUAUUGUGGAUAACUUAAAAAUUUGCUAUACCUUUAAUAAAUGUAUCUUGGUCGCGACAUAAUACUUAUUACAUACCCCUGUAUCGAGCUGGGUGGGGGGGGGGGGGGGGAAACAAUUUCCGUGUGUGUGGUUCACGUAUUUCACCUCAAGUUAUUAGCGUAUUAGAACUGGUAUACAAACAAGACAUUGCCCAGGGCAUGUAUAUUGUACUUUUGUCUAUUGAAGGGGAGGAAUCUGGCGAAUCAUAUGCUGUGCCUCCUUCCUCUGUCUCCCGCUACUUUAAUUUUGAGUAAUAUUUAGCGACUGUUUUGUAUUUGUUUUUGUUUGCGAUGGCAAAUGCUGUAUAUUAUCUGGUUUAACUUCAAUCUCAUUUAAUCUGUAUAUAUUCUCCUUGUCUUAUUUUGUAACUUUGUCUAUUUCAUAUUAAAUGCGAUUUGAAUUUUUGUAAUACUAGUGACUUUGUAUUUUUUUGUGUUAUUUUGCGAGGACCAAUGCCUUUGGACUCGCUUGAUGUACCACUGCUAAUAGCAAUAUCUAGGCCCAAGAACUUUUCUGAAAUACAUAUCUCCACACCUUAAAAUAUUGUGGUAACGUAAAAGUUGCUAUAAAAUUUUUAACUUUUAUCUUGGGUCUUAAUUAACUUGAGAUUGAAAUUCCCCGGGUUCAAUUUCCAACCUCAAGUUAAUUAGGUAUUAUUAGACAUACUUAUCUUUGUAUUUUUGUCUAUUUUUCAUAUUAUCUGAUUUGAAUUUUUUGAGUAAUAUUUAGCUAACUGUUUUGUCUUUGUGUUUUGUUUUGCGAGGGCACAUGCUGUAGAUUAUCUGGUUUACUUCAACUCAAGUUAAUCGGUAUUAUAUGUCAUUGCCUUAGUGUACUUUGUAUAUUUCAAUUAAUGCUGAUUUGAAUUUUUUAGUAAUGACUAGUUACUUUUUUUGUAGUGGUGUUUGUUUUUUUAUUUUUUUUUUUGCGAGGACCAAUGCGUGGACCGAUUGGAUGUACCAAUGCUAAUAGCGAUACCUAGGACCAAGAACUUCCGAAUACCUAUCUCCACAACCUUUAAAUAUUGUGGUACGUAAAAAUGCUAUAAUAAAUUUUUGUAAAAUUAUCUUGGGUCGUAUUAACUUGAGAUUAAAAUUCUCGGGUUCAUUUCAAACCUGCAAGUUAAUUAUGUAUUAUUAGACAAUACCUUAUUGUAUUUUGUCUAUUUUCAAUUAAUAAUUAUGAUUUUUGAAUUUUUGAGUAAUAUUUAGGCGACAAUUUUGUAUUUGUUUUAUUUGCGAGGGUAAAUGCGGUGGAUUAUCUGGUUUAACUUCAACCUCAACUUAAUUCGGUAUUAUAGGUCCUAUCUUAAUGUUGUACUAUGUCUUUUUCAAAUUAUGCUGAUUGGAUUUUUUCGUAUGCUAGGACUUUUUGUAUUUGUGUUAUUUUCGAGGACCACUUUGUGACUCGAUUGAUGUACCAUGCUAUAGCGAUAUACCUAUGUCCCCAGAACUUUUCUGAAAUACCUAGCUCCACACCUUAAAAUAUUUUGGUACUAAAAAUUAAUAUAAUUUUAUAAAUUUUAUCUUGGGUCCUUAAUUAACUUGAUUUGAAAUUCACCUCACCGUGUUCAUUUCCACCUCAAGUAAUUAGGUAUUAUUAGACAAUACCUUAUCUGGUAUUUGUCUAGUUCCUAUUAUGCUGAUUUGAAUUGAAUUUUUGAGUAAUAUUUAGUCGACUGUUUUGUAUUUGUUUUGUUGCGAGGGUAAAUGCUGUUGAUUAUCUGGUUUUAUCUUAACCUCGAGUUAUUUCGGUAUUAUAUUCCCAUGUUUUAGGUUGUACUAUUCUAUUUCAAAUUAUGCUUAUUUGAAUAUUUUUUCUAAUGACUAGUGUACUUUUUGUAUUGUGUUAUUUUGCUGAGACCAAUGCUGUCGACUCGAUUGGAUGUACCAGCAUGCUAAUAGCGAUACCGUAGGCCAUAGAACUUUCGAAUACUAUCUCCACACCUUAAAAUAUUGUGGUACGUAAAAAUGCUAUAAAAUUUUUAUAAAUUUAUCUUGGGUCUUAAUUAACUUGAGAUUGAAAUUCUCGGUUCAUUUUCAACCUCAAGUUCUUAGGUAAUUAUUAGACAAUCCCUUAUAAUUGUAUUUUUCUAGUUCAUAUAUACUGAUUUGAAUUUUUUGAGUAAUUUUAGCGCUGUUUUUUGUAUUGGUUUUUUGUUUUGCGAGGGCAAAUGCUAUAGAUCAUCUGGUUUAAAACUAAAAAAAACUUCAUCAACCUCAACUUUAAUCGGUAUUAUAUGUCCUUGUCUUAUUAUGUUGUACUUUGUCUACUUGAUAUUAUGCUGAUUUGAAUUUAUUUGUAGACUAGUGCUUUUUUGUAUUGUGUUAUUUUGCGAGGACUCAAAUUCUGUGGGAUUCGAUUGGAUGUACCUGCUAAUAGCGAUACCUAGGCCAUAGAACUUUUCCUGAAAUACUAUCUCCACACUAAAUAUUGUGGUACGUAAAAUUGCUAUAGAAUUUUAUCAAUUAUCUUGGUCUUAAUUACUUGAGAUUGAAUCCCGGGUUCAAUUUCCACCUCAAGUUAAUUAGUAUUAUUAGACAAUACCUUAUAUUGUAAUUUUGUUUAUUUCAUAUUAAGGCUGAUUUGAAUUUUUGAGUAUAUUUCCGACUGUUUUUGUAUUUGUUUUGUUUUGCGAGGUAAAUGCUGUGAGAUUAUCUGGUUUAACUAACUUCAACCUCACUUAUUCGGUAUUUAUGUCGCAUAUCUUGUUUGUACCUAUUCUAUUUCAAAUUCUGCUGAUUUGGAUUUUCGUAAUGACUAUUGACCUUUUUGUAUUUCUGUUAUUUCGAGGACCAAUGCUGUGGACUCGAUUGGAGUACCAUGCUAAUAGCGAUACCUAGGACCAAGACCU
rnacentral:lncRNA from 1 species